GUGAGGAAUAUUGGGCAAUGCCCGCAAGGGUGACCCAGCAACGCCGCGUGGAGGAUGAAUGUCGUAAGAUUGUAAACUCCUGUUAGAGGGGAAGAAUAGUACCGGUUGGACCGGUAUAUGACUGUACCCUCAGAGAAAGCCCCGGCUAACUACGUGCCAGCAGCCGCGGUAAUACGUAGGGGGCAAGCGUUGUCCGGAUUUACUGGGUGUAACGGGCGCGCAGGCGGGAUAAAAAGUCAGUGGUGAAAUCCUACAGCUUAACUGUAGAACUGCCUUUGAUACUUUUAUUCUUGAGUUCGGGAGAGAGCGACGGAAUUCCAGGUGUAGUGGUGAAAUACGUAGAUAUCUGGAAGAACACCAGUUGCGAAGGCGGUCUCUUGGUCCGACACUGACGCUGAGGCGCGAAAGCGUGGGGAGCAAACA
rnacentral:rRNA from 1 species